rnacentral:rRNA from 1 species
GACGUAGGGCGCGAGCGUUGUCCGGAUUUAUUGGGCGUAAAGAGCUCGUAGGCGGCUUGUUGCGUCAGCUGUGAAAACCCGCAGCUCAACUGUGGGCUUGCAGCUGAUACGGGCAGGCUUGAGUUCGGUAGGGGAGACUGGAAUUCCUGGUGUAGCGGUGAAAUGCGCAGAUAUCAGGAGGAACACCGGUGGCGAAGGCGGGUCUCUGGGCCGAUACUGUCGCUGAGGAGCGAAAGCGUGGGGAGCGAACAGG